rnacentral:sRNA from 1 species
AUAUCUCUCCGUACGGGAAGGAUGAGAAGCUUCGACUAAGGUUCGAUUCGAGCGAAAGCGAGAAAGCGUUGCCAACGGCAACGACCCGAAGGGCGAAGCGCGCAGCGCUGAGUCAACCUUCCCCCACCACCA